rnacentral:rRNA from 1 species
AUUGAACGCUGGCGGCGUGCCUAACACAUGCAAGUCGAGCGGUAACAGGUGUAGCAAUACAUGCUGACGAGCGGCGGACGGGUGAGCAAUAUUUGGGAAUCUGCCUAUUAGUGGGGGACAACCCGGGGAAACUCGGGCUAAUACCGCAUACGCACUAUGGUGGAAAGCCGGGGACCGUAAGGCCUGGCGCUAAUAGAUGAGCCCAAAUCGGAUUAGCUAGUUGGUGAGGUAACGGCUCACCAAGGCGACGAUCCGUAGCUGGUCUGAGAGGACGACCAGCCACACCGGAACUGAGACACGAUCCGGACUCCUACGGGAGGCAGCAGUGGGGAAUAUUGGACAAUGGGCGAAAGCCUGAUCCAGCGACGCCGCGUGGGUGAAGAAGGCCUGCGGGUUGUAAAGCCCUUUCGGUGGGGAAGAAAAGCCUCGUUCUAAUACAGCGGGGUCUUGACGUAACCCAUAGAAGAAGCACCGGCUAACUCUGUGCCAGCAGCCGCGGUAA